rnacentral:rRNA from 1 species
GACGAACCGUGCGAACGUUGUUCGGAAUCACUGGGCUUAAAGGGCGCGUAGGCGGGCAUCCAAGUCAGUGGUGAAAUCCUCCGGCCUAACCGGAGAAGAGCUGUUGAUACUGGGUGCCUCGAGUGGUGCAGGGGUCUGCGGAACUUCCGGUGGAGCGGUGAAAUGCGUAGAUAUCAGGAGGAACACCGGUGGCGAAAGCGGCUCACUGGACCGUUACUGACGCUGAGGUGCGAAAGCUAGGGGAGCAAACGGG